GUUACACAAGUAACCGAAAAUCGUGAAACCAGUAUAGUACUUAAAGUUAGGGAGUUGAUAACAUUAUUAACAGGUAGUCCCCCAAGAAAUGCUGGACAUAUUGAAGAGCUGAAGUAUAUGCUAGAAAACUUUGCCCAUCCUAACGUGGAUGGUGUGGUUUACCUUCAAGAUUAUGAAGAUAGAAGUGGAACAUGUCCUAUGAAUAGCGAUUUCUGGGGAAAACUUGCAGAUUGGAGAUUUUUAACCCAGGCACAGCAAACACAAACCAAAGAGUUCCUGUUAAAAAACUUUGGCAUAAAAGAUUUGGAUUUAGCUUUGGACAAAUAUGUACAAAAUG